rnacentral:rRNA from 1 species
CCUAGGGGAGGCAGCAGUGAGGAAUAUUGGUCAAUGGGCGGGAGCCUGAACCAGCCAAGUCGCGUGAGGGAAGACGGUUCUACGGAUUGUAAACCUCUUUUGCCGGGGAGCAACGGGGUCCUUGCGAGGGCCCGAUGAGAGUACCCGAAGAAAAAGCAUCGGCUAACUCCGUGCCAGCAGCCGCGGUAAUACGGAGGAUGCGAGCGUUAUCCGGAUUUAUUGGGUUUAAAGGGUGCGCAGGCGGAUUUUUAAGUCAGCGGUCAAAUCGUGGUGCUCAACCCCAUCCAGCCGUUGAAACUGGGGAUCUAGAGUGUGCGAGAGGUAUGCGGAAUGCGUGGUGUAGCGGUGAAAUGCAUAGAUAUCACGCAGAACCCCGAUUGCGAAGGCAGCAUACCGGUGCACAACUGACGCUCAGGCACGAAAGCGUGGGUAUCGAACAGGAUUAGAUACCCCGGUAGUC